rnacentral:rRNA from 1 species
GGACUACUGGGGUAUCUAAUCCCGUUCGCUCCCCUAGCUUUCGCCCCUCAGCGUCAGGUGCCAUCCAGGACAGUGCCUUCGCCUUUGGUGUUCUUCCGGAUAUCUACGCAUUUCACCACUCCACCCGGAGUUCCCUGUCCCUCUCUGGCCCUCAAGUCUCCCCGUUUCGUGACCACUCUCCCAGGUAAGCCAGGAGCUGUCACCCACGACGCGAGAGACCGCCUGCGCGCGCUUUACGCCCAGUAACUCCGGACAACGCUUGCCCCCUACGUAUUACCGCGGCGGCUGGCAC